rnacentral:rRNA from 1 species
AGGUAAGCUACUAAGAGCGAAUGGUGGAUGCCUUGACUGGUAAAGGCGAUGAAGGACGUACUAGACUGCGAUAAGCUACGGGGAGCUGUCAAGAAGCUUUGAUCCGUAGAUUUCCGAAUGGGGCAACCCAAUGUAUAGAGAUAUACAUUACCUAUAUAGGAGCGAACGAGGGGAAUUGAAACAUCUUAGUACCCUCAGGAAAAGAAAUCAAUAGAGAUUGCGUCAGUAGCGGCGAGCGAAAGCGCAAGAGGGCAAACCCAGUGCUUGCACUGGGGGUUGUAGGACUGCAAUGUGCAAGAGGUAAGUUUAGCAGAACAUUCUGGAAAGUAUAACCAUAGAGGGUGAUAGUCCCGUAUGCGAAAAACAAACCUUAGCUAGCAGUAUCCUGAGUAGGGCGGGACACGAGGAAUCCUGUCUGAAUCCGGGUCGACCACGAUCCAACCCUAAAUACUAAUACCAGAUCGAUAGUGCACAAGUACCGUGAGGGAAAGGUGAAAAGAACUGAGGUGAUCAGAGUGAAAUAGAACCUGAAACCAUUUGCUUACAAUCAUUCAGAGCCCUAUGUAGCAAUACAGGGUGAUGGACUGCCUUUUGCAUAAUGAGCCUGCGAGUUGUGGUGUCUGGCAAGGUUAAGCAAACGCGAAGCCGUAGCGAAAGCGAGUCUGAAUAGGGCGCUUAGUCAGAUGCUGCAGACCCGAAACGAAGUGAUCUAUCCAUGAGCAAGUUGAAGCUAGUGUAAGAACUAGUGGAGGACUGAACCCAUAGGCGUUGAAAAGCCCCGGGAUGACUUGUGGAUAGGGGUGAAAGGCCAAUCAAACUUCGUGAUAGCUGGUUCUCUCCGAAAUAUAUUUAGGUAUAGCGUUGUGUCGUAAUAUAAGGGGGUAGAGCACUGAAUGGGCUAGGGCAUACACCAAUGUACCAAACCCUAUCAAACUCCGAAUACCUUAUAUGUAAUCACAGCAGUCAGGCGGCGAGUGAUAAAAUCCGUCGUCAAGAGGGAAACAACCCAGACUACCAGCUAAGGUCCCUAAAUCUUACUUAAGUGGAAAACGAUGUGAAGUUACUUAAACAACCAGGAGGUUGGCUUAGAAGCAGCCAUCCUUUAAAGAAAGCGUAAUAGCUCACUGGUCUAGUGAUUUUGCGCGGAAAAUAUAACGGGGCUAAAGUAAGUACCGAAGCUGUAGACUUAGUUUACUAAGUGGUAGGAGAGCGUUCUAUUUGCGUCGAAGGUAUACCGGUAAGGAGUGCUGGAGCGAAUAGAAGUGAGCAUGCAGGCAUGAGUAGCGAUAAUUAAUGUGAGAAUCAUUAACGCCGUAAACCCAAGGUUUCCUACGCGAUGCUCGUCAUCGUAGGGUUAGUCGGGUCCUAAGUCGAGUCCGAAAGGGGUAGACGAUGGCAAAUUGGUUAAUAUUCCAAUACCAACAUUAGUGUGCGAUGGAAGGACGCUUAGGGCUAAGGGGGCUAGCGGAUGGAAGUGCUAGUCUAAGGUCGUAGGAGGUUAUACAGGCAAAUCCGUAUAACAAUACUCCGAGAACUGAAAGGCUUUUUGAAGUCUUCGGAUGGAUAGAAGAACCCCUGAUGCCGUCGAGCCAAGAAAAGUUUCUAAGUUUAGCUAAUGUUGCCCGUACCGUAAACCGACACAGGUGGGUGGGAUGAGUAUUCUAAGGCGCGUGGAAGAACUCUCUUUAAGGAACUCUGCAAAAUAGCACCGUAUCUUCGGUAUAAGGUGUGGUUAGCUUUGUAUUAGGAUUUACUCCGAAAGCAAGGAAACUUACAACAAAGAGUCCCUCCCGACUGUUUACCAAAAACACAGCACUCUGCUAACUCGUAAGAGGAUGUAUAGGGUGUGACGCCUGCCCGGUGCUCG